AAUAUUGCACAAUGGGCGCAAGCCUGAUGCAGCGACGCCGCGUGAGCGAAGAAGGGUUUCGGAUCGUAAAGCUCUGUCCUCUGGGAAGAAAAAAAUGACGGUACCAGAGGAGGAAGCCCCGGCUAACUACGUGCCAGCAGCCGCGGUAAUACGUAGGGGGCAAGCGUUAUCCGGAAUCACUGGGCGUAAAGGGUGCGUAGGCGGCCGAUAAAGUCUGGGGUGAAAGGCGACGGCUUAACCGUAGUAAGCCUUGGAAACUUAUUGGCUUGAGUGCAGGAGAGGUAAGUGGAAUUCCUAGUGUAGCGGUGAAAUGCGUAGAUAUUAGGAGGAACACCAGUGGCGAAGGCGACUUACUGGACUGUAACUGACGCUGAGGCACGAAAGCGUGGGGAGCGAACAGG
rnacentral:rRNA from 1 species